rnacentral:rRNA from 1 species
AGGGUUUGAUUCUGGCUCAGGAUGAACGCUGGCGGCGUGCUUAACACAUGCAAGUCGAACGAAGCACUGGGAAACAGAGAUUUCGGUCAAAGUUUCCCUUUGACUGAGUGGCGGACGGGUGAGUAACGCGUGGGUAACCUGCCCUGUACAGGGGGAUAACAGUUAGAAAUGACUGCUAAUACCGCAUAAGCGCACAGCUUCGCAUGGAGCGGUGUGAAAAGCCGAGACGGUACAGGAUGGGCCCGCGUUGGAUUAGCUGGUUGGCGGGGUAACGGCCCACCAAGGCGACGAUCCAUAGCCGGCCUGAGAGGGUGGACGGCCACAUUGGGACUGAGACACGGCCCAA